rnacentral:rRNA from 1 species
AAUCUUGCGCAAUGGUCGAAAGCCUGACGCAGCCAUGCCGCGUGAUUGCUUCUGGUCUUAUGAUUGUAAAAUUCUUUCACUGGGGACGAUAAUGACGGUACCCGGCGAAGAAGCCACGGCUAACUUCGUGCCUGCUGCCGCGGUAAUACGAAGGGGGCUAGCGUUGCUCGGAAUUACUGGGCGUAAAGGGCGCGUAUGCGGACAUUUAAGUCAGGGGUGAAAUCCCAGAGCUCAACUCUGGAACUGCCUUUGAUAAUGGGUGUCUUGAGUGUGAGAGAGGUAUGUGGAACUCCGAGUGUAGAGGUGACAUUCGUAGAUAUUCGGAAGAACAACAGUGGCGAAGGCGACAUACUGGCUCAUUACUGACGCUGAGGCGCGAAAGCGUGGGGAGCAAACAG